rnacentral:lncRNA from 1 species
CUACUGCUCCACUUAAAGGAAGUUAAAACUGUGGAAGUAUUUUGGGGGUGAAGGUUAAAAUAUCUGUAAACCAAUUCAAUAGGAAUUACAAACGGAAGAAAUCAGUACAGUCAAAGGUUCCCUGCUUGUCAAAUAUGAUAUAACGUUUGUGUCGUGGUCCAAGAGCAGUCUCAGCACUGCUUUCCUUCAGUGUUUUGGAAAAUGCAAACAGACAUGUUAAGGCUGUGUUUCCAAGCCAAUUGUAUUCCCAAAGGAAGGCUCUGAGUAAGUGCUAGACAAGCUCGCCUGUUCCAGGACUGGCAGGAGGUUGCUGAAUCAUCCUGAGGCUGAAGAAAUCAGAGGGUAACUCAUGAUAAAAAUUCUGGAUGCUGGAUACAAUGAGAAGUGGCUUGAUUUUCCCCUCAAUGUGGAUAGAAUUCACAAAACUUGUUCCUGGAAUGGCUUCUUGGAAUAGCUAUGAACUGCUGAUUGAAUGACUGCUACUUGAUGAUGACAGAUGAAAGAAGAGCCCAGGCUAACAGGUCCUUCAGCAGAAUUGAUAGAGAGGCCCUUCUCCCCAACAUCAUAUUUCUGUAACGGCCAGACAGAAUGGCUGCUUCCUGGCAGCAGUCAUUUAGAUCCUUUCUUUUUGGACACAACCAAAAGAAAGAUGCAAAGAAAAGAAUCUUCUUUAUACUAGCCACACCCUUCAUUAUUUUCAGUCUGACUCCAACUUUGAGCCAAGAAGUUGAUAAAUUAUGUAUGAUCAAUUUUAUAGCUUACAAGCACUAAGCGUCUCUGUGCCAUAACUCCAUGCUUCAAUUUCCUCCUUUUGGAUGAGAAACUGUGACAAGGCCUACUUUUGCCUUCUGUGGUUUCUAGGGACUUGUCAUUAUUUAUAGACUAAUUUCAAGAUCUGGCAUUGUAUUUGUGACUAAAUCUGAUUUCCAAGACUAUGAAAACCAGAUAUUGUAAUGUACUCUGACAGACAAUGUCUAAUAAAAAGAAGCAAAUUGAUGUCUAAAAUGUCCUG